CCUGUGAUAGCAGUGACUCUGGGCUC
rnacentral:piRNA from 1 species